rnacentral:rRNA from 1 species
AGAGUUUGAUCCUGGCUCAGGAUGAACGCUAGCGGCAGGCUUAACACAUGCAAGUCGAGGGGCAGCGCGGGUGGCAACACCUGGCGGCGACCGGCGCAAGGGUGCGUAACGCGUGAGCAAUCUGCCCGUGUCAGGGGGAUAAGCGAUGGAAACGUCGUCUAAUACCGCAUAACAGCCAUGGGGGCAUCCCCGGGGCUUGAAAGAUUCGUCGGACACGGAUGAGCUCGCGAGGCAUUAGCUAGUUGGUGAGGUAACGGCUCACCAAGGCUGCGAUGUCUAGGGGGUCUGAGAGGAUGGUCCCCCACACUGGAACUGAGACACGGUCCAGACUCCUACGGGAGGCAGCAGUGAGGAAUAUUGGACAAUGGUCGGAAGACUGAUCCAGCCAUGCCGCGUGAAGGAUUAAGGUCCUAUGGAUUGUAAACUUCUUUUGUACGGGAGCAAUAAGCGCCACGGGUGGCGCGACGAGAGUACCGUACGAAUAAGCAUCGGCUAACUCCGUGCCAGCAGCCGCGGUAAUACGGAGGAUGCGAGCGUUAUCCGGAUUUAUUGGGUUUAAAGGGUGCGUAGGCGGCUUGGUAAGUCAGCGGUGAAACGCAGGGGCUCAACCCCGGAGCUGCUUUGGAAACUGCUGAGCUAGAGUGUGGGAGAGGAAAGCGGAACUUUGAGUGUAGCGGUGAAAUGCGUAGAGAUUAGGAAGAACACCGGUGGCGAAGGCGACUUUCUGGACUGUAACUGACGCUGAGGCUCGAAAGCGUGGGGAGCGAACAGGAUUAGAUACCCUGGUAGUCCACGCCGUAAACGAUGAUGACUAACCGUCGGCGAUACACAGUCGGUGGCCAAGCGAAAGCGAUAAGUCAUCCACCUGGGGAGUACGACCGCAAGGUUGAAACUCAAAGGAAUUGACGGGGGCCCGCACAAGCGGAGGAACAUGUGGUUUAAUUCGAUGAUACGCGAGGAACCUUACCCGGGCUCGAACGGCUGGUGAAGAGAUCCAGAGAUGGUGACGUCCUUCGGGACACCAGUCGAGGUGCUGCAUGGUUGUCGUCAGCUCGUGUCGUGAGAUGUUGGCUCAAGUGCCAUAACGAGCGCAACCCUUGCUGCCAGUUACCAGCGCGUAAAGGCGGGGACUCUGGCGGGACUGCCACCGUAAGGUGUGAGGAAGGCGGGGAGGACGUCAAAUCAGCACGGCCCUUACGUCCGGGGCGACACACGUGUUACAAUGACAGCUACAGAGGGAAGCUACCUGGCGACAGGAUGCAGAUCUCGAAAAGCUGCCUCAGUUCGGACUGGAGUCUGCAACCCGACUCCACGAAGCUGGAUUCGCUAGUAAUCGCGCAUCAGCCAUGGCGCGGUGAAUACGUUCCCGGGCCUUGUACUCACCGCCCGUCA